AGAGUUUGAUCCUGGCUCAGGAUGAACGCUAGCUACAGGCUUAACACAUGCAAGUCGAGGGGCAUCAUGCUUAUAGCAAUAUAAGUGAUGGCGACCGGCGCACGGGUGAGUAACACGUAUCCAACCUGCCGAUAACUCGGGGAUAGCCUUUCGAAAGAAAGAUUAAUACCCGAUAGUAUAAUAAAACCGCAUGGUUUAAUUAUUAAAGAAUUUCGAUAAUUGAUGGGGAUGCGUUCCAUUAGGCAGUUGGUGAGGUAACGGCCCACCAAACCUUCGAUGGAUAGGGGUUCUGAGAGGAAGGUCCCCCACAUUGGAACUGAGACACGGUCCAAACUCCUACGGGAGGCAGCAGUGAGGAAUAUUGGUCAAUGGACGGGAGUCUGAACCAGCCAAGUAGCGUGAAGGAUGACUGCCCUAUGGGUUGUAAACUUCUUUUAUAUGGGAAUAAAU
rnacentral:rRNA from 1 species